rnacentral:lncRNA from 1 species
AUGAAAAUUAAAUCAUCUGAAGGUUCCCAUUGGAGGUCGGAGGUGGUGGACGGGGUGGCUGAACACCUGACAGUGAGAGAGUGUGUGCGGUGCAGGUCAUUGAUCGAGUCGACGGAAUGGAGCUCAAUCUCUGUCAGGUCUCGCUCGCUGACACGAACAAAUGCUGGAGGAGGAGAAGGAGUGGACUUCAUGAUCACUCCCACCACUGACAGACAGAGAAUAAAAACCUGAUUCAAAGAUUCAAAAAUAUUCAGAAAUCAAUGUUCACUUCCCUCAUGUUGUUUUUGUGUAUGACUCUCCGUCUCUCAUAGAACACAAAAUAAAUUUUGCACUGGUCUCACUUUUCCAUGCAAUUACAACGAAUGGAGACUGGAGCUUUACGCUUAAAAAAAGGAAUAAAAAAAAAACAACAACCAUAGAAAGUAGGUCCAUGCGGCUUUGUAAGAUAGCUAGCGCUGGGAACCGAGAACAGGUCCUUUUUCAGAUCAUGUGUUACAUCGAUUCUCGAACUAAUGACUCGUAUGAAUCGGUUCCUUUUGGCGGAUCAAAACUGCACACGAUCAGCGUAGUUCUCGAACGAAUAACUCUUAUGACGAAUCACUCCGUAAAAAUAAAAAGUGUUACUAUUUGUUCAUGAAAAUUAAAUUAGUGCAGUUAAACUUGUUAUAUUAAACGACUAGUUAAAGAUUCACAUUAUGAGAUUUGUUGUUUUCAAUUUUUUUUAUAUGAAAGUAUAAAAAAUAUAGCUUUUUUUGUUUGUUUAGUAGGCCUAUAGUGCUAUUUAACGUACAGGGCCAAGCAUGGGCGUAGAAUACGUGGGGGAUUAUAAUAUAUGGUUUAUGUGUGUCUUUCAAGUCAUGUAAUAGGCUAAACAAAGUAUCUGAAUAAUGAAUAUAUAUAUAAGUGUAGUAUAUGAACCAAUCAUAAAAUUGCCACUAUGGGAAAAAAGGAAAAAUAUUACAGAAUACAAGUUAUUGGUUGUCCAGCACCAGCAGUGUUUUUGAUUUCUUAGCCAAUUAAAAGUAAGGGGAGAAGAAAAAUAAAUAAAAACCUGACAAUUAGACAAUAAAAAUAAAAUAAUAAAUAAACAAGUUAAAACAAACAAACAAAAAGGUAUUAAUAUAUUUGACAUUUCUGUUCCCUCACUUCUGAAAUGAUUGUUACCCCUGCGGCCAAGUAUUGAAAGAUACAUUAAAAGGUCUCCUGUAAACACACCUUUGUAAGAAUUGGUUAUGAGUUUCUUUUUCGCUCUUUUCUGAUGAAAUAUGAAAUCAUAUUGUUUGUAUUAAACAGACUAGUGAGGCAGUAAAUGAUAAAACUGUGAUUUUUAUAGCUUUUUAUAAUUACAAUGGAUAAA